rnacentral:rRNA from 1 species
GGUAUGAAAGGGUUAACGAAGAAGGUGCUGUGUCUAAAAACUCAAUUUAAACUAACUUUAAGGUGAAGAGGCCUUUAUGUAAAAGAAGGACGACAAGACCCUAUGAAGCUUUAUCUUAAUUGGAGCUCUCAGGCUCUUAUACGAUUUUGAUGGGAGAUCAGUAGAAAUAAGUCUUCUACUAUCAUAUUAAUCUUACUAGUAUUUCCUAACUUUAUAUGUGUGGCUAGCUACUCUAGGGAUAACAGCGCAAUUUCUCCCGAAAGAUGGUAUUGGAGGGGAAGAUUGCGACCUCGAUGUUGGCUUUAGAUAUCCUAGAGGCGUAGAAGCUUCU